CCCAGUGACCGCUAGCUCUCUGCAACUCUGACAUGGUUGCCCACUAAAGCUAAGCAGGGCUAGUGCCCGGUCAGUACCUGGAUGGGAGACCACAUGGGAAAGCUAGGUUGCUGCCGGAA
rnacentral:rRNA from 1 species